rnacentral:rRNA from 1 species
AGGGUUCGAUUCUGGCUCAGGAUGAACGCUAGCGACAGGCUAACACAUGCAAGUCGAGGGGCAGCACGGGAGUAGCAAUACUUGGUGGCGACCGGCGCACGGGUGAGUAACGCGUAUGCAACCUGCCUAUCAGAGGGGAAUAACCCGGCGAAAGUCGGACUAAUACCGCAUAAACAGGGGCACCGCAUGGUGAUAUUUGUUAAAGAAAUUCGCUGAUAGAUGGGCAUGCGUUCCAUUAGGUAGUUGGUGAGGUAACGGCUCACCAAGCCGACGAUGGAUAGGGAACUGAGAGGUUGGUCCCCCACACUGGUACUGAGACACGGACCAGACUCCUACGGGAGGCAGCAGUGAGGAAUAUUGGUCAAUGGGCGGGAGCCUGAACCAGCCAAGUCGCGUGAAGGAAGAAGGAUCUAUGGUUCGUAAACUUCUUUUGCAGGGGAAUAAAGUGCAGGACGUGUCCUGUUUUGUAUGUACCCUGAGAAUAAGGAUCGGCUAACUCCGUGCCAGCAGCCGC